UACAGAGGGCCCAAGCGUUGUUCGGAUUCACUGGGCGUAAAGGGUGCGUAGGUGGUGAGGUAAGUCGGAUGUGAAAGCUCGGAGCUCAACUCCGAAAUGGCAUUGGAAACUACCUUGCUAGAGGGUUGGAGGGGGGACUGGAAUGCUUGGUGUAGCAGUGAAAUGCGUAGAUAUCAAGCGGAACACCAGUGGCGAAGGCGAGUCCCUGGACAACUCCUGACACUGAGGCACGAAAGCUAGGGGAGCAAACAGG
rnacentral:rRNA from 1 species